GUUGUGGUUCAUUGGUAGAGUGCUUGCCUAGCACGUAUGAGGCCCUGAGUUCCAUCCUCAGCACAACA
rnacentral:tRNA from 1 species